UACGAAUGGGGCGAGCGUUGUUCGGAUUUACUGGGCGUAAAGGGCGCGCAGGCGGCGCAUUUUGUCAGGCGUGAAAGCCCCGGGCUUAACCUGGGAACUGCGUUUGAUACGGAUGGGCUAGAGUUCGGGAGAGGAGAGUGGAAUUCCCAGUGUAGAGGUGAAAUUCGUAGAUAUUGGGAAGAACACCGGUGGCGAAGGCGGCUCUCUGGACCGAGACUGACGCUGAGGCGCGAAAGCUAGGGGAGCAAACGGG
rnacentral:rRNA from 1 species